UGUGUGUGUGUGUGUGUGUGUGUGAUGAGCUCAGACCUAAUCUCAGGUGUGUGCAAUGAGCUGCUCCAGGUGUGUGUGUGUGUGUGUGCAAUGAGCUGCUCCAGGUGUGUGUGUGUGUGUGUGUGUGAUGAGCUCAGACCUAAUCUCAGGAGUGUGUGAUGAACUGCUCCCGGUGUGUGUGUGUGAUGAGCUGCUCCAGGUGUGUGUGUGUGUGGCUACGUG
ensembl:lncRNA